rnacentral:rRNA from 1 species
GAUGAACGCUAGCGGCAGGCUUAAUACAUGCAAGUCGUGGGGCAGCAUGAGUAGCAAUACUUGAUGGCGACCGGCAAACGGGUGAGGAACACGUACACAACCUUCCUUCAAGCGGGGAAUAGCCCAGAGAAAUUUGGAUUAAUACCCCAUAAUAUAUUUGAUAAGGCAUCUUAUUAAUAUUAAAGCUUCGGCACUUGAUGAUGGGUGUGCGGCUGAUUAGAUAGUUGGCGGGGUAACGGCCCACCAAGUCUACGAUCAGUAGCUGAUGUGAGAGCAUGAUCAGCCACACGGGCACUGAGACACGGGCCCGACUCCUACGGGAGGCAGCAGUAAGGAAUAUUGGACAAUGGACGAAAGUACUGAUCCAGCCAUGCCGCGUGAAGGAUUAAGGUCCUCUGGAUUGUAAACUUCUUUUAUAUGGGACGAAAAAAGGGCAUUCUUGUUCACUUGACGGUACCAUAUGAAUAAGCACCGGCUAACUCCGUGCCAG